AGUGGAUGGGGAGCAACCUAGUUGUGCGUGUGUAAAGGUAGUGCCAAGAAAAGCGAUGAUCAUGUUGAAAAUCAAUUCCCGGUACCCGAAACCGACGCAGGUGGGCAAGUAGAGAAUACUAAGGGGCGCGAGGUAACUCUCUCCAAGGAACUCGGCAAAAUGACCCCGUAACUUAGGGAGAAGGGGUGCCACCGAGAGGUGGUCGCAGUGAAGAGGCCCAGGCGACUGUUUAGCAAAAACAUAGGUCUCUGCAAACUCGAAAGAGGAGGUAUAGGGGCUGACGCCUGCCCAGUGCCGGAAGGUUAAAGAAGUUGGUCAGUUUUAGGAUGAAGCUAGCGACUGAAGCCCCGGUGAACGGCGGCCGUAACUAUAACGGUCCUAAGGUAGCGAAAUUCCUUGUCGGGUAAGUUCCGACCCGCACGAAAGGCGUAACGAUCUGGGCGCUGUCUCGGAGAGAGGCUCGGCGAAAUAGGAUUGUCUGUGAAGAUACGGACUACCUGCAUUUGGACAGAAAGACCCUAUGAAGCUUUACUAUAGCUUGGAAUUGUGUUCGGGCUUCCUGUGCGCAGGAUAGGUGGGAGGCGUAGAAGGUAUUCUUGUGGGGAUACUGGAGCCAACGGUGAGAUACCACUCUCAGGAGGCCAGAAUUCUAACUUAAUUAAGGACAGUUUCAGGUGGGUAGUUUGACUGGGGCGGUCGCCUCCAAAAAGGUAACGGAGGCGUACAAAGGUUCCCUCAGACUGGUUGGAAAUCAGUCGAAGAGUGCAAAGGCAGAAGGGAGCUUGACUGCGAGAAGUACAGUUCGAGCAGGGUGGAAACACGGUCUUAGUGAUCCGACGGUGCUGUGUGGAAGGGCCGUCGCUCAACGGAUAAAAGUUACUCUAGGAUAACAGGCUGAUCUCCCCCAAGAGUUCACAUCGACGGGGAGGUUUGGCACCUCGAUGUCGGCUCAUCGCAACCUGGGGCGGAAGUACGUCCCAAGGGUUGGGCUGUUCGCCCAUUAAAGCGGUACGUGAGCUGGGUUCAGAACGUCGUGAGACAGUUCGGUCCAUAUCCGAUGUAGGCGUGAGAAUAUUGAGAGGAGCCUUCCUUAGUACGAGAGGACCGGGAAGGACGCACCGCUGGUGUACCUGUUAUGAUGCCAAUUGUAAACGCAGGGUAGCCAAGUGCGGAGAGGAUAACCGCUGAAAGCAUCUAAGUGGGAAGCCCACCUCAAGAUGAGUAUUCUGGUGUAAGGUCACGGGAAGACGACCCGUAAAUAGGCACGAGGUGGAAGUGCAGAGAUGUAUGAAGCCGAAGUGUACUAAUAGACCGUCGGCUUGAC
rnacentral:rRNA from 1 species